GGACCCGCACAAGCAGCGGAGCAUGUGGUUUAAUUCGAAGCAACGCGAAGAACCUUACCAGGACUUGACAUCCUUCUGACAGAUCCUUAAUCGGAUCCUUCUUCGGACAGAAGAGACAGGUGGUGCAUGGUUGUCGUCAGCUCGUGUCGUGAGAUGUUGGGUUAAGUCCCGCAACGAGCGCAACCCUUGCCAUUAGUUGCCAUCAUUUAGUUGGGCACUCUAAUGGGACUGCCGGGGACAACUCGGAGGAAGGUGGGGAUGACGUCAAAUCAUCAUGCCCCUUAUGUUCUGGGCUACACACGUGCUACAAUGGCCGGUACAAUGAGACGCAAAGUCGCGAGGCGGAGCAAAUCUAUAAAACCGGUCCCAGUUCGGACUGCAGGCUGAAACCCGCCUGCACGAAGCCGGAGUUGCUAGUAAUCGCAGAUCAGAAUGCUGCGGUGAAUGCG
rnacentral:rRNA from 2 species